rnacentral:sRNA from 1 species
CUCACGCGGCCCCUCCCCCUCAGCGAGAAAGCGUUGCCGCAGGCAACGACCCGAAGGGCGAAGCGCGCAGCGCUGAGUCAUCCUUCCCCCACCACCA